AGCGAACGCUGGCGGCAGGCCUAACACAUGCAAGUCGAACGGCUCUUCGGAGCAGUGGCGGACGGGUGAGUAACGCGUGGGAACGUGCCCUUUGGUUCGGAACAACACAGGGAAGCUUGUGCUAAUACCGGAUGAGCCCUUCGGGGGAAAGAUUUAUCGCCAUUGGAGCGGCCCGCGUUGGAUUAGGUAGUUGGUGGGGUAACGGCCCACCAAGCCGACGAUCCAUAGCUGGUCUGAGAGGAUGAUCAGCCACACUGGGACUGAGACACGGCCCAGACUCCUACGGGAGGCAGGAGUGGGGAAUCUUGCGCAAUGGGCGAAAGCCUGACGCAGCCAUGCCGCGUGUAUGAUGAAGGUCUUAGGAUUGUAAAAUACUUUCACCGGGGAAGAUAAUGACGGUACCCGGAGAAGAAGCCCCGGCUAACUUCGUGCCAGCCGCCGCAGUAAAAC
rnacentral:rRNA from 1 species